CUGAAACAGUCACUGAUCCCAACACUAAGCAGAAAAGCCUCUCUGGGGUGUUAGGGAUCAUAUGAUUAUAUGAGGUUGGGACAAAAUCCUGGAGAAACAAAAGCAGAAGCUCUCAGGGACAGAAAUAAUUAAAGCAAGAACUAGGAUUUUGAUGAAAAUGCCCUGGAGUUCUGAUGUGACUUUCUCUAUCCUGAUCCAACUCAUUCAAAUCCAAGACAAAAAAAGACAAAAAAAGAGAAGAGAAGAGAAGAGAAGAGAAGAGAAGAGAAGAGAAGAGAAGAGAAGAGAAGAGAAGAGAAGAGAAGAGAAGAGAAGAGAAGAGAAGAGAAGAAAAGAAAAGAAAAGAAAAGAAAAGAAAAGAAAAGAAAAGAAAAGAAAAGAUAAGUUAAAGCUUCAGGCAUUGGGCUCCAAGCCAAUGAUACAGAUUGCAAAAAAAGAGCUGCAGGCCCAUUGUUGCUAUGUUUGCCAGCUUUAGCAUAUUGGGUGACAGUGUAAUAUAUUUAGCCCUAAUCUAACACAUAACCUCACUGUAAUUAAAAUAUAGCACAUUUUGCACAAGGUCACAUUUAGUUUUAUUGACCACUGUGAUUCUAGAAAAAGAUUUAUGAAGAUGGCUUGACAUGUUUCAAGUGCUAAGGAAAUAGAUGUAAAAUGCUUCUCCCUUGAAAGCUGGCUAUGUAAUCAUCCUUUUCUUUUGUGAUUUCUUCAGAAAUCUCUUUGUCUGAUGACUGCAAUAUACCAGUCAAAAAAUUCUGUGUGCCAUUAUCACUAAGGAUUUUGAAAUGUCAGUUAUAGAGUGAAGCUGUAACAGUGUGCUCGGAGUAUUUCUUUUCAUACGCAGUUGCAUUCUGUGGAUAUUCUAACAAGCUGAGGACAGAAACACAAAGCAAUUUUUCUUAUUAUUUCUGAUGUGACUCCUCUGAAUUCCUUACUAAAAUGAAUAUGAUUUGCUUUUUUUGUGUUCUUAAUGCAGAUGGAGUGGAUUUUCUGUGAGUUUGUCUGUAUUACUAAAGUCCAAAGGAAGAUGUAAAUUGAGUAUUGCUGUUGCUGGCUUUGUCAGACUUGUAUUUAUUUGGAGGCUGCAGUCAUAUUUGAAAAAAAAAAAAAAAAAAUCCCCUCUUUUAGUUUAAAACCAUUCCCCCUUGGCCAAUCACUAUCAGACUGUGUAAAAAGUUGGCCUUCCUCUUCUUUAUAUGCUCCCUUCAAGUACUGGAAGACUGCAAUGAGGUCUUCCAAGAGCCUUCUCUUCCCCAAGCUAAACAAGCCCAG
ensembl:lncRNA